AACGAACGCUGGCGGCAUGCCUAACACAUGCAAGUCGAACGAGACCUUCGGGUCUAGUGGCGCACGGGUGCGUAACGCGUGGGAACCUGCCCUUAGGUUCGGAAUAACUCCCCGAAAGGGGUGCUAAUACCGGAUAAUGUCUUCGGACCAAGGAUUUAUCGCCUUUGGAUGGGCCCGCGUUGGAUUAGCUAGUUGGUAGGGUAAAAGCCUACCAAGGCGACGACCCAUAGCUGGUCUGAGAGGAUGAUCAGCCACACUGGGACUGAGACACGGCCCAGACUCCUACGGGAGGCAGCAGUGAGGAAUAUUGGACAAUGGGCGAAAGCCUGAUCCAGCAAUGCCGCGUGAGUGAUGAAGGCCUUAGGGUUGUAAAGCUCUUUUACCCGGGAUGAUAAUGACAGUACCGGGAGAAUAAGCUCCGGCUAACUCCGUG
rnacentral:rRNA from 1 species